rnacentral:rRNA from 1 species
UCGAACGCUUCUUUUUCCACCGGAGCUUGCUCCACCGGAAAAAGAGGAGUGGCGAACGGGUGAGUAACACGUGGGUAACCUGCCCAUCAGAAGGGGAUAACACUUGGAAACAGGUGCUAAUACCGUAUAACAAUCGAAACCGCAUGGUUUUGAUUUGAAAGGCGCUUUCGGGUGUCGCUGAUGGAUGGACCCGCGGUGCAUUAGCUAGUUGGUGAGGUAACGGCUCACCAAGGCGACGAUGCAUAGCCGACCUGAGAGGGUGAUCGGCCACAUUGGGACUGAGACACGGCCCAAACUCCUACGGGAGGCAGCAGUAGGGAAUCUUCGGCAAUGGACGAAAGUCUGACCGAGCAACGCCGCGUGAGUGAAGAAGGUUUUCGGAUCGUAAAACUCUGUUGUUAGAGAAGAACAAGGAUGAGAGUAACUGUUCAUCCCUUGACGGUAUCUAACCAGAAAGCCACGGCUAACUACGUGCCAGCAGCCGCGGUAAUACGUAGGUGGCAAGCGUUGUCCGGAUUUAUUGGGCGUAAAGCGAGCGCAGGCGGUUUCUUAAGUCUGAUGUGAAAGCCCCCGGCUCAACCGGGGAGGGUCAUUGGAAACUGGGAGACUUGAGUGCAGAAGAGGAGAGUGGAAUUCCAUGUGUAGCGGUGAAAUGCGUAGAUAUAUGGAGGAACACCAGUGGCGAAGGCGGCUCUCUGGUCUGUAACUGACGCUGAGGCUCGAAAGCGUGGGGAGCAAACAGGAUUAGAUACCCUGGUAGUCCACGCCGUAAACGAUGAGUGCUAAGUGUUGGAGGGUUUCCGCCCUUCAGUGCUGCAGCUAACGCAUUAAGCACUCCGCCUGGGGAGUACGACCGCAAGGUUGAAACUCAAAGGAAUUGACGGGGGCCCGCACAAGCGGUGGAGCAUGUGGUUUAAUUCGAAGCAACGCGAAGAACCUUACCAGGUCUUGACAUCCUUUGACCACUCUAGAGAUAGAGCUUCCCCUUCGGGGGCAAAGUGAC